UACGUAGGGGGCAAGCGUUGUCCGGAUUUAUUGGGCGUAAAGCGCUCGCAGGCGGCCCGAUGCGUCGUGCGUGAAACACCCCGGCUCAACUGGGGAGGGUCAUUCGAUACUGGCGGGCUCGAGGCCGGUAGGGGGAAGCGGAAUUCCCGGUGUAGUGGUGGAAUGCGUAGAUAUCGGGAGGAACACCAGUGGCGAAGGCGGCUUCCUGGACCGGUUCUGACACUGAGGAGCGAAAGCGUGGGGAGCGAUCCGG
rnacentral:rRNA from 1 species